CUCAUACAACCUAGCUACUACUACUAUAUAUCGUUCUGUACUUCCACUCCUUGGCCGAUCAUGGCUUUCAAGAUCAUCGUCCUGGUAUUGGUGUCGGCGCUGCUCCUUGCGUCUUCCCAUGUUGGUGCAAGCAGGGAUUUGCAUUGGGACGGCCCCCCAGCCAGAGUUCCGGCCUGCGCCGCCCAAGCCUGUGCCGAGACGUGCGUCGAUAAUGGCUAUUGUGGCGGGAUUUGUGACGAAUCUGUCUGCAAGUGCGUCCUCUGCAGAUCACUCGACGCCGUCGCUGAAAACAUACAGUCCUAAUCUAUCUAAGGCGUGGAUCAAUAAACAAAUAAUCGAUCCUCUCUUUCUCUUUUUGUCGGAGACAAUAUUGUUCUUUGUCUCUUUUUAGCAGAUUAUUAUCCGAGAAGAUCUGAUGUCUUUAUUGUCGUGAGAUUACAUUGUCUCGGCGGAUUAAUCAUGAUCAUUGAUUGUUCGAA